rnacentral:lncRNA from 1 species
AGAGGUCCUGAUACCAACAGGUAGGAACCUCUCAUUAGCAUUCCCUGAAUAUGAUGGCUAUUCUCAGUUUUCAAUUUGACUAUAUCUGGAAUUAACUGAAACCCAAAAGUGGCUGGACACACUUGGAAAGGGAUUUUGCUUAGAUCAUUUGAAGUUGGACGAUUCAUUUCAGUUAUAGACAACUCAGUAGUUUUCAGACAAGGCUACCUCUUGGAGAUAUUCUCAGGUAAGCCUGGCCCAGGAAUGCACAAAAUCUUCCCACACACCAGCUUUUCACUAACGUAAAGGACUCCAGGAUGUGUGUUAAAUUCCCAGCAUCUGGAAAGGAGACCCCAGCUUCAGGACUAUGAACAACUACCUCUUUAGGAGUAUAUAAAGAAA